AUUGAACGCUGGCGGCAGGCCUAACACAUGCAAGUCGAGCGGAUGAAGGGAGCUUGCUCCUGGAUUCAGCGGCGGACGGGUGAGUAAUGCCUAGGAAUCUGCCUGGUAGUGGGGGAUAACGUCCGGAAACGGGCGCUAAUACCGCAUACGUCCUGAGGGAGAAAGUGGGGGAUCUUCGGACCUCACGCUAUCAGAUGAGCCUAGGUCGGAUUAGCUAGUUGGUGGGGUAAAGGCCUACCAAGGCGACGAUCCGUAACUGGUCUGAGAGGAUGAUCAGUCACACUUGAACUGGAACACGGUCCUGGACCCUAAGGGAGGGCACAGUUGGGAAUAUUGGACAAUGGGCGAAAGCCUGAUCCAGCCAUGCCGCGUGUGUGAAGAAGGUCUUCGGAUUGUAAAGCACUUUAAGUUGGGAGGAAGGGCAGUAAGUUAAUACCUUGCUGUUUUGACGUUACCAACAGAAUAAGCACCGGCUAACUUCGUG
rnacentral:rRNA from 1 species